rnacentral:rRNA from 1 species
GGGGUUCGGAGUUAUUGGGCCUAAAGCAUCCGUAGCCGGCUGUUCAAGUUUCCGGUUAAAUCCACACGCUUAACGUAUGGGCUGCCGGAAAUACUGUUCAGCUAGGGAGCGGGAGAGGUAGACGGUACUCGAUAGGAAGGGGUAAAAUCCUUUGAUCUAUUGAUGACCACCUGUGGCGAAGGCGGUCUACCAGAACACGUUCGACGGUGAGGGAUGAAAGCUGGGGGAGCAAACCGGAUUAGAUACCCGGGUAGUCCCAGCUGUAAACGAUGCAGACUCGGUGAUGCAUUGGCUUAUGGCCAAUGCAGUGCCGCAGGGAAGCCGUUAAGUUUGCCGCCAGGGAAGUACGGUCGCAAGACUGAGACUUAAAGGAAUUGGCGGGGGAGCAC